GAUGAACGCUGGCGGCGUGCUUAACACAUGCAAGUCGAGCGAAGCACUUGGAACCGAUCCUUCGGGUGAAGUUCCAUUUGACUGAGCGGCGGACGGGUGAGUAACGCGUGGGUAACCUGCCUCAUACAGGGGAAUAACAGUUUGAAAAGACUGCUAAUGCCGCAUACGCGCACAGGGCCGCUUGGCCCGGUGUGACACACUCCGGUGGUAUGAGAUGGUCCCGCGUCUGAUUAUCUAGUUGGUGAGGUAACGGCCCACCAAGGCGACGAUCAGUAGCCGACCUGAGAGGGUGACCGGCCACAUUGGGACUGAGACACGGCCCAAACUCCUACGGGAGGCAGCAGUGGGGAAUAUUGCACAAUGGGGGAAACCCUGGUGCAGCGACGCCGCGUGGAUGAAGAAGUAUUUCGGUAUGUAAAGUCCUAUCAGCAGGGAAGAAAAUGACAGUACCUGACUAAGAAGCCCCGGCUAACUACGUGCCAGCAGCCGCCGCAG
rnacentral:rRNA from 1 species